rnacentral:tRNA from 1 species
GCCUGGGUGGCUCAGUCGGUUGAGCGUCCGACUUCGGCUCAGGUCAUGAUCUUGCAGUCCGUGGGUUCAUGCCCCGCGUCGGGCU